GCAGUUAGUCUCAUGGUGGUUUGGAUCUGUUGGGGAUGGGGAGGGGACCUUCACAGUAGAGACCACUAGGAAAGAGGGAUGAGAGUCAGACGGCGGAGGCUCUAGCCUGCCGUGCUCAGGACUUUGGCCUUUAUCCGGCAUUUUCCAGGAAACUCGGACGUCCAGGGAGUGGGAGUACGAACCACACAAGUCGACUGGAUCCAAUUGAAGCCCCACAAAGAUGGAUUGCAACAGGGGAGGAGCUCCGAUCUUGUAAAGGGUCUGGAAUUCUCAUCCUUCCAGGACAGAUACACCCUCCACUCAGAUACCACGCCUCCCAAACUCCAUUCCUGCUUGUAGCAGGGAGACCCUGGAGCUAGGGAGAUGUCCAGGAACAACAGGGCAGGGAGAACGCUACAGGGUCACUCUGUAGACCAGGCUGGCCAUAAACUCACAGAGAUCCUCCUGAUUUUACCUCCCAAGUGCUGGAUGAAAGAUGUAUACCACUCUGCCUAACUGUUAAGAUUUAUUUUAUUUUUAAUUCUCUCUCUCUCUCUCUCUCUCUCUCUCUCUCUCUCUCUCUCUCU